CACGUAGGGCGCAAGCGUUGUCCGGAAUCAUUGGGCGUAAAGCGCACGUAGGCGGUUCGUUAUGUCGGAUGUGAAAGCCCUUGGCUUAACCGAGGAAGUGCAUCCGAAACUGGCGAGCUAGAGUACGAAAGAGGAUCGCGGAAUUCCCGGUGUAGCGGUGAAAUGCGCAGAUAGUCGGGAGGAACACCAGUAGCGAAGGCGGCACUCUGGGCCGGUACUGGACGCUGACGAAGCGAAAGCAUGGGGAGCCGAACAGG
rnacentral:rRNA from 1 species